AUCUGUUCAAGGUUCAGGAGGGAAGCCGUGCUGAGUCAGCCUGGCAGCUGUAUUUCCUGCUCCAGCUCUCUCCUGCCGCAUGAUUCACUCCCUCCUCCUCUGCCAGGAAGUCUUAGUCCUGGCUGAAGCAGUAAGAAGGCAGAAGGACACUCCAGCUAUCUCGCACCGGGUUAUUGGAGUGUGUGCAUCGAUUCAUUCUGCUCUGCAACAUCACGGACAGAAGGCACAAUUGUUUCUGCUAUGAUUCCAAAAUCAACUGUCAAGAGAGGGCCUUUGGGAGAAGAGUGGUGAGCCAGACAGCAGGCUCUCUGACAGCUCUGGACAGAGUUCAAGGAAAAUUGUUGGCCUUGCCAUCCUCCUUUGUGAGUCUUGGACGUGCUGGUCAGUGAAAUACCUGUGGAAUCUGCCAGCUGGACCAUCAAUUUAUAGUACAGCUUGUGCUACCCUUCUAAUCUCUUCAAUGGACCGUGAUUACUUCACUGGCUCUAACCUAAACACCCCCCAUUUGCUAGACCGUAAUUGCAGGUAAUAGUGUUAAGUGGGGUCGGGGCUGCCUUGCAGGGUGCGCGGCGCAGCAGCCCAUAGCAGCGCUGUACUGACGAGGAUCUCGAGUCUUGAGUGCUGAAAACCGUACCCUUCACCCAAACCAAGUCCACUGCAGAAUGUAUUAAUUUCUUAACAGAAUAUUUCUUGAUCACCUAAAAUCCCCAUACAAUCCCUGCUCCCUUAAAUUUGCUGUAAUAAGUUUUGUGGAGUCUUUCCCUGCUGCUCUAAAGCAAAAUGGUUUCAAAGUGUUUUUUUCCUGGGAGGUAUCCCCUCUGUGCCGUUGCCCUGUGCUGCUGCUCCACUGGGUGUGUGCUACACCGAUGAGCUGAGGCACAUGCAGGUGUGAUAUCUUGUGUUCGGUGCUUUCAGUAGGUGAGAUUUGGCCCUUUCUCUGUCAAUCGAAUGCUCUAAACACGAAUAUGAUGCUGCUGCAAUGUGAAUAUUAAAUGUGCAGUGCACGGAAUAAAAGAUGCAAGCUCC